AAACAAGUCAAUUUCUAUUCUGAAAACCUGGCACUGCCUAAGAAAAUCCAAACCCUUCAAACAGAAGCUUCACAAGAGUGUAGUUAAUGGCAUAAAAGAGUGCUCAGAGACUCACCCACAGAGACUUUCUGAUAGCUGAUGCCAGGAACAGCAAAAAGCAGAAUGUCCAGUUGGGGAUAGUUAACCAAGCCCCUCUCAAUUCUUCUUCUUGAGGCUAUCCUCUCCUCACUGGUCCCCAUUUUAUAACCAUGCUCAAGGAGCCUAGGCUUCUCUUCUUCUCUUACAGCAUGUUUAAUAUCACUACUUUAUCCAUUCUGUACUGUUGCAGGCUGAAGGUGACAUUACACUUAGAGGGAUCCACAGAUUCAAGAGGCUGCUUGGGGAGGGCAGCACAGUGAAGUACAAGGACUUUGACAUCAGAGAGGCCUGGAUUCAAGUCCCAAUUUCUAUCUCUCUCUCUGCGGAAGCCAGCCACCGCUCUCCAAGGACUCUCGAGCAGCUCCAUCUACAGAUUCACAUGGAGAAGAAUUAAGGGUUCCUGCCAAUCACCAGCACCACUUUGCCAGCCUUGUGAAAGUACCUGAAUGAAACAACACCCAGUAGCCACUAGCACACCUAGCUCCCAGAUCUCAGUUUUUGAUGCCAUUCUUCAGUAAAAGGAAGCAAGGCUGCUUGGAGAAAUUGCUAUCAAGGACUGGCGUAGAAAAUAUACAGGAUGAAAUUGGAGCAUCUUGUAGUGCUUGAAAACAGUUGGCAUCUGUGUGAAGAUGUGAAUGGAGGAGGCAGGGUACGCAGUGAGUGCCGCAGCCACAGCUUGGGUUCUCUGCAGCCCUGGCACAGAAGGUUCCUUAGAUCCUGGGAUGAGGAGGUGGACCAGCAGAAGGUGGGCUUGGGAAGGCAGCCCGGGGUCCAAAUCCUCCUGACUCUUCAGCUUAGCGGGUUAGUUAACAUUCAGAAGCCUUCAUCUCCCAUCUGCAAAAUGGGCAUGUCCAACUCAGAAGCUGCCUUGAAGAAAGGGUCUACCCAGCAUGGUGCGUGGAGCCUAAGCAAUCAGUACUUCAGGACUUCACCCGGCCCCUUUCCAAUAACUGCUGCUGUCGCCCUCACAGGAUGUCACCUUCAGUGUCUGAAAGCUGGGUUUGAUGCGUCUGGAAAGGCGCCCCUGACAGGCGUCGUUGCCAGGAGCCCCUAGUGCCGCCCCCAGCCAGCAGGGGAGAGCGUCCUCUGCCCGCUCACUUCUGACCCUUCUCUCGUUGCACCCGGGACAUGGUGCAGCUGGGAGCAGCCUGGGCUGCGCGGAAGGCUCAGAUUUGGGGACGGCCCUUGCCAGUGACUGUGAGCUGGGGUGUCUUGGAAACUCCCAGUCUCAGCUUCUCCAUUUAUAAGAUGAGAAUGAUCAUACCAGCCUCAGGCAAGGUUGUUUGUGCAUUAGUGAAAUCAGACGUAUCAAAUAAAGUACCACAUUGAUCGUGGAGUUGUUGAAUAACCAAGAACAC
rnacentral:lncRNA from 1 species